UGCAUCCAGAUAAGAACACUGAUAUUUGAUGCAUUUUCUGCACCAGGACCAUCAAAACUUCAGUAUCAAAAGGAAAAUAAUUGCUUGUGCAUCACUAUGAAUGAAUGCUGCAGCAGGCCAUUUCCAAAUGCAGCAAGACCUGGAGAAUAUCCAGACCUGAUGUGACAGCUGGCAAGUAACAUUCAUGCCACAUAAGUACCAGGUACAAGGCACAGGGGCAUGCCACUCAGCCUCAACCAUCAACAUGCCAUUAUCAUACAUCAGUGCUGUUGCAGGAAGCAGACAUUUUUCCAUGCAGAGAUUUACCUGUCAGUCUGUCAACUGAAUUGUCCCUCUGUCCUAGGAAUUCAUGUACGUUCCUUGCGGACAUCUCAAGCUGUGCCUGCACAAGUACACUAAACCACAUCAUAAUGGAUUUAAAUAUUUCUUAGGUAACUGAGAUAUGAUGGCGAAUUGCUUAAUGUCCCAUGUCAUUUUGUCCACUGGACAUGGGGAAAGGAUGAGGGUUCUCGCAUCUAAAGCAAAUGUGAGAUUGCAUAUUCUGCAAACUAACUCACUUGGCAUUAAUAAAGAUCAUUGA